rnacentral:rRNA from 1 species
GACGAACGCUGGCGGCGUCCUUAACACAUGCAAGUCGAACGGUGAAGCGCCUUCCUUUUUGGUGGGUGUGGAUGAGUGGCGAACGGGUGAGUAACACGUGAGUAACCUGCCCCCUUCUUCUGGAUAACCGCAUGAAAGUGUGGCUAAUACGGGAUAUUCUGGGUCUGUCGCAUGAUGGGUCUGGGAAAGAUAUUGUUUCGGUGGGGGAUGGGCUCGCGGCCUAUCAGCUUGUUGGUGGGGUGAUGGCCUACCAAGGCGGUGACGGGUAGCCGGCCUGAGAGGGUGGACGGUCACACUGAGACUGAGACACGGCCCAGACUCCUACGGGAGGCAGCAGUGGGGAAUAUUGCACAAUGGGCGCAAGCCUGAUGCAGCGACGCCGCGUGAGGGAUGGAGGCCUUCGGGUUGUGAACCUCUUUCGCCAGUGAAGCAGGCCUGCCUCGUUUGUGGGUGGGUUGACGGUAGCUGGAUAAGAAGCGCCGGCUAACUACGUG